UACAGAGGUCCCAAGCGUUGUUCGGAUUCACUGGGCGUAAAGGGUGCGUAGGCGGCUCGGUAAGUCGGGUGUGAAACCUCCAGGCUCAACCUGGAGACGCCACCUGAUACUGCUGUGGCUAGAGUCCGGUAGGGGAGUGUGGAACUCCUGGUGUAGCGGUGAAAUGCGCAGAUAUCAGGAAGAACACCAGCGGCGAAGGCGGCACUCUGGGCCGGAACUGACGCUGAGGAGCGAAAGCGUGGGUAGCAAACAGG
rnacentral:rRNA from 1 species